rnacentral:lncRNA from 1 species
AAUUUAUGUAAACCUGGAAAUUCUGGGAUCCAGUCUCUAAUAGGAGUACUUUGCAUACCAAAUAUGGAAAUAAGGCGAGGUCUACUUGAAGUGCUUUAUGAUAUAUUUCGUCUUCCUCUACCUGUUGUGACUGAGGAGUUCAUAGAAGCGCUACUCAGUGUAGAUCCAGGGAGGUUCCAAGACAGUUGGAGGCUUUCAGAUGGCUUUGUGGCAGCUGAGGCAAAAACUAUUCUUCCUCAUCGUGCCAGAUCCAGGCCAGACCUCAUGGAUAAUUAUUUGGCACUCAUACUCUCUGCAUUUAUUCGUAAUGGACUUUUAGAGGGUCUAGUUGAAGUGAUAACAAACAGUGAUGAUCAUAUCUCAGUUAGAGCUACCAUCCUUUUAGGAGAGCUUUUACAUAUGGCAAACACAAUUCUUCCUCAUUCACAUAGCCAUCAUUUGCACUGCUUGCCAACCCUAAUGAAUAUGGCUGCAUCCUUUGAUAUCCCUAAGGAAAAGAGACUGUAAG